GGGCCCGCACAAGCGGUGGAGCAUGUGGUUUAAUUCGAUGAUACGCGAGGAACCUUACCAGGGCUUAAAUGUAUUCUGACAGCUUUAGAGAUAGAGUUUUCUUCGGACAGAAUACAAGGUGCUGCAUGGUUGUCGUCAGCUCGUGCCGUGAGGUGUUAGGUUAAGUCCUGCAACGAGCGCAACCCCUAUUCUUAGUUGCCAGCGGUUCGGCCGGGGACUCUAAGAAGACUGCCGGUGCAAACCGUGAGGAAGGUGGGGAUGACGUCAAAUCAUCACGGCCCUUACGUCCUGGGCUACACACGUGCUACAAUGGUCGGUACAGAGAGCAGCCACUACGCGAGUAGGAGCGAA
rnacentral:rRNA from 1 species